UACGGAGGGGGCUAGCGUUGUUCGGAAUUACUGGGCGUAAAGCGCACGUAGGCGGCUAUUCAAGUCGGGGGUGAAAGCCCGGGGCUCAACCCCGGAACAGCCCUCGAAACUAGAUAGCUAGAAUCUUGGAGAGGCGAGUGGAAUUCCGAGUGUAGAGGUGAAAUUCGUAGAUAUUCGGAAGAACACCAGUGGCGAAGGCGACUCGCUGGACAAGUAUUGACGCUGAGGUGCGAAAGCGUGGGGAGCAAACAGG
rnacentral:rRNA from 1 species